ensembl:antisense Gm15523 predicted gene 15523
AGAUCUUGAAGGUCCAUCAACACCAUCAUAGCCACCUGCUUGAGAGCCACUCAGGAGCAGCAGGACCAACCCCCAUCAGUCUCAGGGAGGGGCCCAUUGGGUACCAUGGCUCAAACUCAGCUCAUUCGGCAUGGAAGCAAGCAAAGUUACCCACUGAGCCUUCACGUAGCAUUCUUACACUGGUGGGACUCUCUUCGAAAAGACACAAAUGCCUCAGAGAGAGCAGAGCAGGCAGACUGAAGCUCUGUCAGCAAAUAAAAUCGAAUCAGCCUGACUUGUGAUAUUUACUGGCUUGCAGCAACCCGACCGCAGGUAUGGAUCUUGGCUACCAGUGCUUGGUCUAAGGACCGCUUUGCUGUGUGGCGUUCUUGUGGCUCUGGCUAACUGGUACCCAGGAGACGGUCCAGCACAUCUCCAAGAGGACAUCCAAAUGGCCUAC